rnacentral:lncRNA from 1 species
GCAUCUCUCAAUUCCGGCUUUGGUUAUACGUCUACUUUUACGUAGACGUUCGGUACAUUCGUUCCAACUUUAAUUUUUUAUUUGUUUAUUAAUUAAGUUAUUUUUUUUUUUUGUUAUAUUAUCUUUGCUUGUUUUUCAUAAUAUUAAUUAUUUUAAACUUGAACAUGAAUUUGGAAAAAUAUAGUGGUAAAAGACCAAUGUCGAAAAGAAAAAAUAAUAGGGGAGGAGGAAGUAGUUCUAAUUCUAAAAAUUUGCCACCUCC